GCACAUUUUGCAAAAACUUUUAUGAUGGGUGUUAACCUUCCAUAGGUGUAUCAGCGAUCGGAAGUGUGAGAAUGCACUUCCAGCUGCUUUGUGACUGUCCGCGCCUUCACAGCUGGUGCUGGCAGAAGAGCUCUUGCCGGUUCUCCACUCCCUGGGGGGAGUUUAUGCUGAGGGUGCUCAGCGGGGGUUCAGUUUGCACCUCAUCUGCUUUUUUGUUCUGCCUGUGGCCACACUUGGGGGUGGUAUUCUGGCCUCCUCUCCCCUCCGGGAGGAAGGUGGGACACGUGCUCCUGGCCGCCUGGCCUCCAGCCAUGGGACUUCUGUACCAUCUGCAGGUGCCUCCCAGUGCGCUGUGGCAGUGGCAGGUCUCCGUCCCGUUGUCUCCACAGGACCAGGGAAGGACUUCCUAGGAGCAGAGCGCCUGCUGUGGAGCGGACUGUUCACUCGGCGGGGGCUGGGGGACUGCCCCUCGUGUCCUCUGUGUGUCACUUGGCCUUUGGGCUUCUGUGUCUUCAUUAGGAAAUGUACUGUUUGGACUGGGUCAUCUGAAAGACUUUCCAGUUCCCAGCGUGUGGCGGCGGAGAGGCCGAGGCUGAGUCCGGAAAGAUGGCCAACGGGUCCAGUCCAGAGCAGGGAGGCCACGGGCCAGGCUGGAGAGGGUGGAGUGGGACUUCCCGGCCGCCCCUGUGGGCCACUGCCCUGUGACACAGCCCUGUUUCCUCAGACUGCCCCUCCCUGGACACUCCUUCCCUCCAGUCUGAUCUUAUUUCCACUCUUGAUAAACAGACCAAAGGAGGGGGACGCAUCAGUCUCUCAUUUCUCAACGCUUUUCACUCAGCCAGAGAUCACCCCUCUACCCCCAGUGCUUCCUGACAGAGCCUUUUCCUGUUUAAAGGGAAUGCUGGACUCCCUGUUUCCCCUGACAGUUGGGAUCUCAUAUUUGCCUGUGGUUACCCGAGACUGACUGAUUUCGUUGCCUUUUAGGGCAUCAAGAGAAGUUCUGUAGGGGACAAUCUUGGGCUGUAGAAGGAUGAAGAGAUUAGGAGAGAAAGUUUCUCUAGUCAGAAUACAGCUGUCUGAGGGCUAAGUUAUAUUCAGUUUCUUUUUUUGGUAGAAAAAGGAAAAUGUCCCAAGUCGUUGAGUUCUUCCUCCCUUAUAAAAAGUGCAACC
rnacentral:lncRNA from 1 species